GUCUUUUUGAGUUUAAUUUAAAGUCUAACCUGCCCAUUGAAUAAUUUUAAAAGGCUGCAGUAUUUUGACUGUACAAAGGUAGCAUAAUCAUUAGUUUUUUAAUUGAAAACUUGUAUGAAUGGUUGAAUGAGAAAUUAACUUUUUUAAAUAAAAUAAUGAAUUUUACUUUUAAAUUAAAAGGUUUAAAUAUAAUUAAAAGACGAGAAGACCCUAUAGAGUUUUAUAAUUAAAAUAUUAAUUUUAAAAAAGAUUAAAUAUAAUUUUAUUAAUUAAAUUAUUUUAUUGGGGUGAUAGUAUAAUUUAAUUAACUUAUAUUUUUAUUUUACAUUAAUAUAUGAAAAAUUGAUCCAAUAAUAUUGAUUAAAAAUUUAAAUUACCUUAGGGAUAACAGCGUAAUUUUUUUUUAAGUUCAUAUUAAUAAAAAAUUUUGCGACCUCGAUGUUGGAUUAAGAUUUAAUUUUAGGUGCAGUAGUUUAAAAUUUAAGUCUGUUCGACUUUUAAAUUCUU
rnacentral:rRNA from 1 species